AGAGUUUGAUCAUGGCUCAGAUUGAACGCUGGCGGCAGGCCUAACACAUGCAAGUCGAACGGUAACAGGAAGCAGCUUGCUGCUUCGCUGACGAGUGGCGGACGGGUGAGUAAUGUCUGGGAAACUGCCUGAUGGAGGGGGAUAACUACUGGAAACGGUAGCUAAUACCGCAUAAUGUCGCAAGACCAAAGAGGGGGACCUUCGGGCCUCUUGCCAUCGGAUGUGCCCAGAUGGGAUUAGCUUGUUGGUGGGGUAACGGCUCACCAAGGCGACGAUCCCUAGCUGGUCUGAGAGGAUGACCAGCCACACUGGAACUGAGACACGGUCCAGACUCCUACGGGAGGCAGCAGUGGGGAAUAUUGCACAAUGGGCGCAAGCCUGAUGCAGCCAUGCCGCGUGUAUGAAGAAGGCCUUCGGGUUGUAAAGUACUUUCAGCGGGGAGGAAGGGAGUAAAGUUAAUAUCUUUGCUCAUUGACGUUAUCCGCAGAAGAAGCACCGGCUAACUCCGUGCCAGCAGCCGCGGUAAUACGGAGGGUGCAAGCGUUAAUCGGAAUUACUGGGCGUAAAGCGCACGCAGGCGGUUUGUUAAGUCAGAUGUGAAAUCCCCGGGCUCAACCUGGGAACUGCAUCUGAUACUGGCAAGCUUGAGUCUCGUAGAGGGGGUAGAAUUCCAGGUGUAGCGGUGAAAUGCGUAGAGAUCUGGAGGAAUACCGGUGGCGAAGGCGGCCCCCUGGACGAAGACUGACGCUCAGGUGCGAAAGCGUGGGGAGCAAACAGGAUUAGAUACCCUGGUAGUCCACGCCGUAAACGAUGUCGACUUGGAGGUUGUGCCCUUGAGGCGUGGCUUCCGGAGCUAACGCGUUAAGUCGACCGCCUGGGGAGUACGGCCGCAAGGUUAAAACUCAAAUGAAUUGACGGGGGCCCGCACAAGCGGUGGAGCAUGUGGUUUAAUUCGAUGCAACGCGAAGAACCUUACCUGGUCUUGACAUCCACGGAAGUUUUCAGAGAUGAGAAUGUGCCUUCGGGAGCCGUGAGACAGGUGCUGCAUGGCUGUCGUCAGCUCGUGUUGUGAAAUGUUGGGUUAAGUCCCGCAACGAGCGCAACCCUUAUCCUUUGUUGCCAGCGGUCCGGCCGGGAACUCAAAGGAGACUGCCAGUGAUAAACUGGAGGAAGGUGGGGAUGACGUCAAGUCAUCAUGGCCCUUACGACCAGGGCUACACACGUGCUACAAUGGCGCAUACAAAGAGAAGCGACCUCGCGAGAGCAAGCGGACCUCAUAAAGUGCGUCGUAGUCCGGAUUGGAGUCUGCAACUCGACUCCAUGAAGUCGGAAUCGCUAGUAAUCGUGGAUCAGAAUGCCACGGUGAAUACGUUCCCGGGCCUUGUACACACCGCCCGUCACACCAUGGGAGUGGGUUGCAAAAGAAGUAGGUAGCUUAACCUUCGGGAGGGCGCUUACCACUUUGUGAUUCAUGACUGGGGUGAAGUCGUAACAAGGUAACCGUAGGGGAACCUGCGGUUG
rnacentral:rRNA from 1 species